AAAUUGAAGAGUUUGAUCAUGGCUCAGAUUGAACGCUGGCGGCAGGCCUAACACAUGCAAGUCGAGCGGAAACGAGUUAUCUGAACCUUCGGGGAACGAUAACGGCGUCGAGCGGCGGACGGGUGAGUAAUGCCUGGGAAAUUGCCCUGAUGUGGGGGAUAACCAUUGGAAACGAUGGCUAAUACCGCAUGAUGCCUACGGGCCAAAGAGGGGGACCUUCGG
rnacentral:rRNA from 1 species